UACGUAGGCAGCAAGCGUUGUUCGGAGUUACUGGGCGUAAAGGGUGUGUAGGCGGUUUCUAAGUUUGGUGUGAAAUCUCCCGGCUCAACUGGGAGGGUGCGCCGAAAACUGGAAAGCUAGAGUACUGGAUGGGAGAGUGGAAUUCCUGGUGUAGCGGUGAAAUGCGCAGAUAUCAGGAGGAACACCAAUGGCGAAGGCAGCUGCGCUGGGACGUGACUGACGCUGAGACGCGAAAGCGUGGGGAGCGAACAGG
rnacentral:rRNA from 1 species